rnacentral:rRNA from 1 species
UACAGAGGGUGCGAGCGUUAAUCGGAAUUACUGGGCGUAAAGGGCUCGUAGGCGGCCAACUAAGUCAGACGUGAAAUCCCUCGGCUUAACCGGGGAACUGCCUCUGAUACUGGAUGGCUUGAGAUUGGGAGAGGGAUGCGGAAUUCCAGGUGUAGCGGUGAAAUGCGUAGAUAUCUGGAGGAACACCGGUGGCGAAGGCGGCAUCCUGGACCAACACUGACGCUGAGGAGCGAAAGCCAGGGGAGCAAACGGG